CAAGAACUUGCCAGUCAAGAUGAAAAACUUCUUCUAAUGGAAUCCAGCUUGAAAGCAACUCAAGAGCAGCUAAGUGAGCAAAUAGCAGAAACAGUUCGCCAAGAACAGAACAGUAGAAAAUCACAGACGGAGAGCUGAAGACCCUGAGAAAACAUAUUCUAACUUCUGAAGAAGAAAUUAGUGAUUACAAUUAUGACUGAGAAAAGCUGAAUUGAUUGCAAUGGAAAUCUACCUGACACCUAGGUGGAAAUACAGGAGGGAGGUCCCUAAGUUCCCAUUAUGGUUGUUGGAGACUUAGUCAAUCCAGAGAGUGGAAUCAAGAGCUGAACAAACACUGAGCCAAUCAAGUAUUAAAGUGCGUUUUUUGAUCAGUCUAAAAAAGUCUCCAGAGUUACAUUCAACGAGGCCUCCACUCAAUGCAAUGGAAGGAUAUGUAUGCAGUCACACAUAGUCAACUGAAUGCAGAUUGAAAAAAUUGAUGAUCUGGUCAAAUAUAAUUGAAAAAAUAUCUCAGGCUUGCUAAAUUGACUUUACAACACAAAAGGUAACUACACAAUGAAGUAAUGUUAAUUCAGUGAAAAUAUUAUGAUAUGAGAAGAAUUGUCGCCUGUUCAUAUAUGAGAAGUUAUAUUAGUGCUAGAGAAAUUACUUUGAAAUAAAUAACACCCUACGUCUUAGAACUUGAGAGGGAAACCGUGUAGGCUAGUACCUCUUACUUCUUUCUAUGCUGUCAGGGUGUGCACAUAAUUUCUGUUACACUUAUAUAUUUAGAAAAGAUCACUCUCCAGUAAGGUUACAGCUCCUGGAACAGUUCCACAGCCCAUGUGAAAAUUAAAGAAUUGAAGUAUACAAUUUCUAUUUCAUUUUUCAUCAUCCAUAUUAAAUAUACUUAUAGAUGGCAGUCAGAUAAUAUUUUAUAGAAGGGAAAAAGCCCUAAAUUUUCAAAUAUAUUAUCCAUAUGUCUGAUCCUUAAUUUCCUAUCCUUGAAUAUAUUUGCCAUUAAAAUAUUCAGUAAAUUUGAAAAAGUCUUUAUGUUUUUGGGGAAUAUUAGGUCAUGCUUGCAGAUGGGGAAGAGCAGAGGAUGAGAAAAUAUUCUACAUUGAGAAAACAUGAUUUCAUGCUAUGUGUGUUGAUGGAGAAAAAAACCCCAAGCUUUUCUAGUUCCAUGCAUUUAGCUAGAUUUAGGAAAGGAUCUUUAAAAAGAGAAAUCAAAGUAAUCAUGCAUAUGUAUACAUAUAAUGUUUAUGUACCUUUCCUACAGAAGAAAAAAAAAGGGUGUAUUAGUAUUCACAUUUGACAUCCAAGGUGUGUUGAAAUUACUAAAAUACAUAAUUCAAUUAGCAGGAGAGAAGGAAAUGUCAUAUAGUGAUGUUCAAGCACCUCUACAUAUCCAUAAGAAACUAUAAAAUUAUAAUAUUUUACAGGAGGUCAGAAAUUACAGACUAUGACCUCGUGUCUAUUUUAGUCUGAAGAAUCUGUUUACUCAUCAAAUAAUAAGGAAAUGGACCUCCUGCAAAAAAGAUCAGUUAAGAGCCACUGAGAUUUGCUGCAUGAAAUGCUUCAUUCUUUUCUUCAAGGAAACCUUGUUUAAAGACUGAGUUUUAUGAAUAAUUAUUAGAAAGGCUGCAAGGGGCCUUUUUAUAUAUAUAUGUGUGUGGUGUGCAUAUAUAAUUUACAUAUGUAAUAUAGAACUAAGAGUCCUGAAUUCCUUUGGAAAAGGAUAUUCAGGACUUAAAAGGGCAUAAGUUUAUGUUCGUAGAAUCAUAUAAUCACAGAAUGGUUUGGGUGGGACCAGACUUUAAAGAUGAUCUAGUUCC